rnacentral:rRNA from 1 species
GACGAAUGCUGGCGGCGUGCUUAACACAUGCAAGUCGAACGCUGAAGCUCAGCUUUUGUUGGGUGGAUGAGUGGCGAACGGGUGAGUAACACGUGAGUAACCUGCCUCCUUCUUUGGGAUAACGCCCGGAAACGGGUGCUAAUACUGGAUAUUCACUGGUCUUCGCAUGGGGGUUGGUGGAAAGGGUUUUUCUGGUGGGGGAUGGGCUCGCGGCCUAUCAGCUUGUUGGUGGGGUGAUGGCCUACCAAGGCUUUGACGGGUAGCCGGCCUGAGAGGGUGACCGGUCACAUUGGGACUGAGAUACGGCCCAGACUCCUACGGGAGGCAGCAGUGGGGAAUAUUGCACAAUGGGCGCAAGCCUGAUGCAGCGACGCCGCGUGAGGGAUGGAGGCCUUCGGGUUGUGAACCUCUUUCGCUCAUGGUCAAGCCGCAACAAUGGUUGUGGUGAGGGUAGUGGGUAAAGAAGCGCCGGCUAACUACGUG